GGGUUGUGAGGUUAAGCGACUAAGCGUACACGGUGGAUGCCCUGGCAGUCAGAGGCGAUGAAGGACGUGCUAAUCUGCGAAAAGCGUCGGUAAGGUGAUAUGAACCGUUAUAACCGGCGAUGUCCGAAUGGGGAAACCCAGUGCAAUUCGUUGCACUAUCGUUAACUGAAUACAUAGGUUAACGAGGCGAACCGGGGGAACUGAAACAUCUAAGUACCCCGAGGAAAAGAAAUCAACCGAGAUUCCCCCAGUAGCGGCGAGCGAACGGGGAGCAGCCCAGAGUCUGAAUCAGCUUGUGUGUUAGUGGAACGGUCUGGAAAGUCCGACGGUACAGGGUGAUAGUCCCGUACACCAAAAUGCACAGGCUGUGAACUCGAAGAGUAGGGCGGGACACGUGGUAUCCUGUCUGAAUAUGGGGGGACCAUCCUCCAAGGCUAAAUACUCCUGACUGACCGAUAGUGAACCAGUACCGUGAGGGAAAGGCGAAAAGAACCCCGGCGAGGGGAGUGAAAAAGAACCUGAAACCGUGUACGUACAAGCAGUGGGAGCACCUUCGGGUGUGACUGCGUACCUUUUGUAUAAUGGGUCAGCGACUUAUAUUCUGUAGCAAGGUUAACCGUAUAGGGGAGCCGCAGGGAAACCGAGUCUUAACUGGGCGUUAAGUUGCAGGGUAUAGACCCGAAACCCGGUGAUCUAGCCAUGGGCAGGUUGAAGGUUGGGUAACACUAACUGGAGGACCGAACCGACUAAUGUUGAAAAAUUAGCGGAUGACUUGUGGCUGGGGGUGAAAGGCCAAUCAAACCGGGAGAUAGCUGGUUCUCCCCGAAAGCUAUUUAGGUAGCGCCUCGUGAACUCAUCUUCGGGGGUAGAGCACUGUUUCGGCUAGGGGGUCAUCCCGACUUACCAACCCGAUGCAAACUACGAAUACCGAAGAAUGUUAUCACGGGAGACACACGGCGGGUGCUAACGUCCGUCGUGAAGAGGGAAACAACCCAGACCGCCAGCUAAGGUCCCAAAGUCAUGGUUAAGUGGGAAACGAUGUGGGAAGGCACAGACAGCCAGGAUGUUGGCUUAGAAGCAGCCAUCAUUUAAAGAAAGCGUAAUAGCUCACUGGUCGAGUCGGCCUGCGCGGAAGAUGUAACGGGGCUAAACCAUGCACCGAAGCUGCGGCAGCGACACUAUGUGUUGUUGGGUAGGGGAGCGUUCUGUAAGCCUGCGAAGGUGACCUGUGAGGGUUGCUGGAGGUAUCAGAAGUGCGAAUGCUGACAUAAGUAACGAUAAAGCGGGUGAAAAGCCCGCUCGCCGGAAGACCAAGGGUUCCUGUCCAACGUUAAUCGGGGCAGGGUGAGUCGACCCCUAAGGCGAGGCCGAAAGGCGUAGUCGAUGGGAAACAGGUUAAUAUUCCUGUACUUGGUGUUACUGCGAAGGGGGGACGGAGAAGGCUAUGUUAGCCGGGCGACGGUUGUCCCGGUUUAAGCAUGUAGGCUGGUUAUCCAGGCAAAUCCGGAUAAUCAAGGCUGAGGUGUGAUGACGAGGCACUACGGUGCUGAAGUAACAAAUGCCCUGCUUCCAGGAAAAGCCUCUAAGCAUCAGGUAACAUUAAAUCGUACCCCAAACCGACACAGGUGGUCAGGUAGAGAAUACCAAGGCGCUUGAGAGAACUCGGGUGAAGGAACUAGGCAAAAUGGUGCCGUAACUUCGGGAGAAGGCACGCUGGUGUGUAGGUGAAGUCCCUGCGGAUGGAGCUGAGACCAGUCGAAGAUACCAGCUGGCUGCAACUGUUUAUUAAAAACACAGCACUGUGCAAACACGAAAGUGGACGUAUACGGUGUGACGCCUGCCCGGUGCCGGAAGGUUAAUUGAUGGGGUUAUCCGUAAGGAGAAGCUCUUGAUCGAAGCCCCGGUAAACGGCGGCCGUAACUAUAACGGUCCUAAGGUAGCGAAAUUCCUUGUCGGGUAAGUUCCGACCUGCACGAAUGGCGUAAUGAUGGCCAGGCUGUCUCCACCCGAGACUCAGUGAAAUUGAACUCGCUGUGAAGAUGCAGUGUACCCGCGGCAAGACGGAAAGACCCCGUGAACCUUUACUAUAGCUUGACACUGAACAUUGAGCCUUGAUGUGUAGGAUAGGUGGGAGGCUUUGAAGCGUGGACGCCAGUCUGCGUGGAGCCAACCUUGAAAUACCACCCUUUAAUGUUUGAUGUUCUAACGUUGGCCCCUGACCGGGGUUGCGGACAGUGUCUGGUGGGUAGUUUGACUGGGGCGGUCUCCUCCCAAAGCGUAACGGAGGAGCACGAAGGUUAGCUAAUCCUGGUCGGACAUCAGGAGGUUAGUGCAAUGGCAUAAGCUAGCUUGACUGCGAGCGUGACGGCGCGAGCAGGUGCGAAAGCAGGUCAUAGUGAUCCGGUGGUUCUGAAUGGAAGGGCCAUCGCUCAACGGAUAAAAGGUACUCCGGGGAUAACAGGCUGAUACCGCCCAAGAGUUCAUAUCGACGGCGGUGUUUGGCACCUCGAUGUCGGCUCAUCACAUCCUGGGGCUGAAGUAGGUCCCAAGGGUAUGGCUGUUCGCCAUUUAAAGUGGUACGCGAGCUGGGUUUAGAACGUCGUGAGACAGUUCGGUCCCUAUCUGCCGUGGGCGCUGGAGAAUUGAGGGGGGCUGCUCCUAGUACGAGAGGACCGGAGUGGACGCAUCACUGGUGUUCGGGUUGUCAUGCCAAUGGCACUGCCCGGUAGCUAAAUGCGGAAGAGAUAAGUGCUGAAAGCAUCUAAGCACGAAACUUGCCCCGAGAUGAGUUCUCCCUGAGACUAUAAGUCUCCUGAAGGAACGUUGAAGACGACGACGUUGAUAGGCCGGGUGUGUAAGCGCAGCGAUGCGUUGAGCUAACCGGUACUAAUGAACCGUGAGGCUUAACCUUACAACGCCGAAG
rnacentral:rRNA from 1 species